CGACCACUGUGUCAGGCCGGUCCGAGCACGAUGCACAACGGGCUGUGCCAGACGGAGACUAGUAUCAGGCUACAACAGUGGUAGGCUUCACGCUAACAGAGCAUCCCAGGCUCCCAGCCAUAUAGACAUCUAUACCCCCACCCACCCAACCUUCGGCAGUCCCCAUCCUCUCCUGUGGGCGCUCCCUCUCCCCGGCCCCCAAAUCACCGCGCCUCCCUCGCCACGCCUCACAGGGCCGGUUGCGUAGGAGAAAGGAGAAAGGAAGGAGGGGAGGCGGUCGUCGGGCGAGAUGAGCGACUCCUUCUGCCCCGACUGCAAGAAGCAUACGGAGGUGGCGUUCGACCACUCGGCGGGGGACAUGGUGUGCACCGAGUGCGGCCUCGUCCUCGAGGCGCACUCCGUCGACGAGACCUCCGAGUGGCGCACCUUCGCGAACGAGUCCAACGACAACGACCCCGUCCGUGUCGGUGGCCCCACCAACCCGCUCCUCACCGAUGGCGGCCUCUCCACCGUCAUCGCCAAGCCCAACGGUGCGCAGGGCGACUUCCUAUCCUCCUCCCUCGGCAGGUGGCAGAACCGCGGCUCCAACCCCGACCGAUCCCUCAUCCUCGCCUUCCGCACCAUCGCCAACAUGGCUGACCGGCUAGGUCUUGUGGCUACUAUUAAGGACCGAGCAAAUGAAAUCUACAAGAAAGUUGAAGAUCUCAAAUCUAUCAGGGGAAGAAAUCAAGAUGCCAUAUUAGCUGCAUGCCUAUAUAUUGCUUGUAGACAAGAAGAUCGGCCUAGAACUGUGAAAGAAAUAUGUUCAGUUGCUAAUGGGGCCACAAAGAAAGAAAUUGGCAGAGCAAAAGAAUUUAUAGUGAAACAACUGGAAGUUGAGAUGGGGCAAUCUAUGGAGAUGGGAACCAUUCACGCUGGAAAUUUUCUGAGACGUUUCUGCUCAACUCUUGGGAUGAACAAUCAAGCUGUUAGGGCAGCCCAGGAUGCAGUUAAGCACUCGGAGGAGCUUGAUAUAAGGAGGAGCCCUAUCUCAAUUGCAGCCGCUGUCAUUUAUAUGAUAACCCAACUCUCAGAGGACAAGAAGCCACUUAAAGAUAUAUCCUUGGCUACUGGUGUAGCAGAAGGCACCAUCAGAAAUUCGUACAAGGAUCUGUAUCCUUAUGCCUCAAGGCUCAUCCCGAAUACCUACGCCAAGGAAGAAGACCUGAAGAAUCUCUGCACACCUUAGGAGGCUUACUUUUUUCCCCCUUUCUGUUACUACAUAAUUCGGAAUUAGAUUUGUCAAAGAGGAAGCACCUACCACCUGAAGAUUUGUGGGAUACGUAUACUCACUUCGGAAAGAAUGUAGAUAGCAAGCAGUUGGACAAGCACAAGAUUUUAAUUUAAAACAUGAUUUUGUUCUCCAUCUUCUGAAGAAACCAUCACUUGUCCAUCUUUA